GACGAACGCUGGCGGCGUGCUUAACACAUGCAAGUCGAACGGAAAGGCCAGUGCUUGCACUGGUACUCGAGUGGCGAACGGGUGAGUAACACGUGGGUGAUCUGCCUUGCAUUCUGGGAUAAGCUUGGGAAACUGGGUCUAAUACCGGAUAUGAACUGCCUUAAGUGUGGUGGUUGGAAAGUUUUUUCGGUGCAAGAUGAGCUCGGGGCCUAUCAGCUUGUUGGUGGGGUAAUGGCCUACCAAGGCGUCGACGGGUAGCCGGCCUGAGAGGGUGUACGGCCACAUUGGGACUGAGAUACGGCCCAGACUCCUACGGGAGGCAGCAGUGGGGAAUAUUGCACAAUGGGCGGAAGCCUGAUGCAGCGACGCCGCGUGGGGGAUGACGGCCUUCGGGUUGUAAACUCCUUUCGACAGGGACGAAGCGGAAGUGACGGUACCUGUAUAAGAAGCACCGGCUAACUACGUG
rnacentral:rRNA from 1 species